rnacentral:rRNA from 2 species
CGCAACCCUUAUCCUUUGUUGCCAGCGGUCCGGCCGGGAACUCAAAGGAGACUGCCAGUGAUAAACUGGAGGAAGGUGGGGAUGACGUCAAGUCAUCAUGGCCCUUACGACCAGGGCUACACACGUGCUACAAUGGCGCAUACAAAGAGAAGCGACCUCGCGAGAGCAAGCGGACCUCAUAAAGUGCGUCGUAGUCCGGAUUGGAGUCUGCAACUCGACUCCAUGAAGUCGGAAUCGCUAGUAAUCGUGGAUCAGAAUGCCACGGUGAAUACGUUCCCGGGCCUUGUACACACCGCCCGUCACACCAUGGGAGUGGGUUGCAAAAGAAGUAGGUAGCUUAACCUUCGGGAGGGCGCUUACCACUUUGUGAUUCAUGACUGGGGUGAAGUCGUAACAAGGUAACCGUAGGGGAACCUGC